rnacentral:rRNA from 1 species
CCUACGGGUGGCUGCAGUAGGGAAUCUUCCACAAUGGGCGAAAGCCUGAUGGAGCAACGCCGCGUGGGUGAAGAAGGUCUUCGGAUCGUAAAACCCUGUUGUUAGAGAAGAAAGUGCGUGAGAGUAACUGUUCACGUUUCGACGGUAUCUAACCAGAAAGCCACGGCUAACUACGUGCCAGCAACCGCGGUAAUACGUAGGUGGCAAGCGUUAUCCGGAGUUAUUGGGCGUAAAGGGAGCGCAGGCGGGAUUUUAAGUCUGAUGUAAAAGCCCUCGGCUUAACCGGAGUAGAGUAUUGGAAACUGGGGAACUAGAGUGCAGGAGAGGACAGUGGAAUUCCAUGUGUAGCGGUGAAAUGCGUAGAUAUAUGGAGGAACACCAGUGGCGAAGGCGGCUGUCUGGCCUGUAACUGACGCUGAGGCACGAAAGCGUGGGGAGCAAACAGGAUUAGAUACCCGAGUAGUC